rnacentral:rRNA from 1 species
UACAGAGGUCCCAAGCGUUGUUCGGAUUUACUGGGCGUAAAGGGUUCGUAGGCGGUCGGGUAAGUCUGAUGUGAAAUCUCUGGGCUCAACCCAGAAAUGGCAUUGGAUACUAUUCGGCUAGAGAGUUGGAGGGGGGACUGGAAUACUUGGUGUAGCAGUGAAAUGCGUAGAUAUCGAGAGGAACACCAGCGGCGAAGGCGGCUCACUGGGCACCACCUGACGCUGAGGCGCGAAAGCGUGGGGAGCGAACCGG